AGAAUCAACGCUGGCGGCGUGCCUAACACAUGCAAGUCGAACGAGAAAGUGGAGCAAUCCAUGAGUAAAGUGGCGCACGGGUGAGUAACACGUGACUAACCUACCCUUGAGUGGGGAAUAAACUUCGGGAAACCGAGGCUAAUACCGCAUAACACCUACGGGUCAAAGGAGCAAUUCGCUUAAGGAGGGGGUCGCGGCAGAUUAGUUAGUUGGCGGGGUAAUGGCCCACCAAGACGGUGAUCUGUA
rnacentral:rRNA from 1 species